UACGGAGGAGGCAAGCGUUAUCCGGAAUUAUUGGGCGUAAAGCGUCCGCAGGUGGCACUUCAAGUCUGUCGUCAAAGACUGGGGCUUAACCCCGGAGAGGCGGUGGAAACUGAAGCGCUAGAGUGCGGUAGGGGUAGAGGGAAUUCCCGGUGUAGCGGUGAAAUGCGUAGAGAUCGGGAAGAACAUCGGUGGCGAAAGCGCUCUACUGGACCGCAACUGACACUCAGGGACGAAAGCUAGGGGAGCGAAUGGG
rnacentral:rRNA from 1 species